CGCAGUUGCGAGUACGCCGUCUCGAUGAACGGUUGGUAGCUCACAGCUAACCAGCCCGAUUCAGUACACAAUCCGGUCGAUAGUGGAUGGUAUCCUGACCAGAAAAGAUAUCCAGAUCCCAACAAUAUACAGAGUCUACUAUACCAAACACCCAAUCGUCACUGUCAACGAUGUCAACAACAGCUAUCAUUGCCUGUGCACGUACAAGUGUUAAAUAGGAAUGCUGGUUAACUCGCCCCACAGUCAACUCACCCCAUAGCCAUCUCGCCCAAAGCCAACUCGCCUGAGUGUUUGGACAACUCACCCCAAACUUUACAGUCCAUAAAUAAUUGUGACAAAAUAAAAAAUUGACGUCUACAACUUUGGUGUCAUUUUAUUUAUUAAUAUUAUGGUGAAACUCUGCUAUUACCACCGCUUAUUAAAUGGUUUUAUAUUGGGGAGAUCUUAAUAUCGGAUAAAUAAUAAUCUAUUACAAUGAACUGUCAAGCCCAACUUAAAGAAGUUUGUGAGUUUGUCCCUUAUGUCCUAAAAGGAAUGAUCAGGCAAGGCUUUUGGACUCCGGUUGGUGUGCAUAUUCAACAAUAUUUAAUGCACAUUAGCUUAAAAUGGUGGUAUAUUAAUUUUCAAAAUGGUAACGAUAUGAGUUGAUUAAAUGGUGAUAAUUAUGCCUUUAACUUGUUUUGUAUGUUUAUUUCUGUAGUGGAUGUGAUUAUUGUUUGUAUAGAUUGCUGUCAGCUUAGUUGGGUUUUUUUAAUUCCUCAUCAUACGGUCAUAAAAGCACCUUAUUCCAAGACCGGACUUUGUUAAAACAUUCCAGAUGUUUGACACUGUGGGUCCCGUGACAACAUAAUAAUUAGAAUUUAAUUACAACAGUUUGUAAUAAAACUAAAACAAGU